AUGUACAGUCGGGUAGCCGGUCGCACAUGGAGCCUGCCUUGCCGCCAUGGAGUGAAGGAGUGCUGGGCUCCUUUUGGUGGCUCGAGAGCGUUGCAUUCGGUGAAGAUGUUUAGUGCUGCAGAGUGCAGACAUGUGUAUCCAGUGGCUGUUUUACAUGGACUGGUAGCAACUGGAGACACAGUUGAAUCGGUUGGUCGACACAAGCAGCUACAUUUGGAAGUUGGGCCACCACCUCUCCUAAAGUCAGUGUUCGUCUUCUAUCAGUCAGACAAGUUGUCAAGAGAGAUUAUUAUAGAAACAGGAAGGGGGGCGUCUCUUUUUUAG
rnacentral:rRNA from 1 species